AUACAUGCAGUAGAACGCUGAAGAGAGGAGCUUGCUCUUCUUGGAUGAGUUGCGAACGGGUGAGUAACGCGUAGGUAACCUGCCUUGUAGCGGGGGAUAACUAUUGGAAACGAUAGCUAAUACCGCAUAACAAUGGAUGACACAUGUCAUUUAUUUGAAAGGGGCAAUUGCUCCACUACAAGAUGGACCUGCGUUGUAUUAGCUAGUAGGUGAGGUAACGGCUCACCUAGGCGACGAUACAUAGCCGACCUGAGAGGGUGAUCGGCCACACUGGGACUGAGACACGGCCCAGACUCCUACGGGAGGCAGCAGUAGGGAAUCUUCGGCAAUGGGGGCAACCCUGACCGAGCAACGCCGCGUGAGUGAAGAAGGUUUUCGGAUCGUAAAGCUCUGUUGUAAGUCAAGAACGAGUGUGAGAGUGGAAAGUUCACACUGUGACGGUAGCUUACCAGAAAGGGACGGCUAACUACGUGCCAGCAGCCGCGGUAAUACGUAGGUCCCGAGCGUUGUCCGGAUUUAUUGGGCGUAAAGCGAGCGCAGGCGGUUUGAUAAGUCUGAAGUUAAAGGCUGUGGCUCAACCAUAGUUCGCUUUGGAAACUGUCAAACUUGAGUGCAGAAGGGGAGAGUGGAAUUCCAUGUGUAGCGGUGAAAUGCGUAGAUAUAUGGAGGAACACCGGUGGCGAAAGCGGCUCUCUGGUCUGUAACUGACGCUGAGGCUCGAAAGCGUGGGGAGCGAACAGGAUUAGAUACCCUGGUAGUCCACGCCGUAAACGAUGAGUGCUAGGUGUUGGAUCCUUUCCGGGAUUCAGUGCCGCAGCUAACGCAUUAAGCACUCCGCCUGGGGAGUACGACCGCAAGGUUGAAACUCAAAGGAAUUGACGGGGGCCCGCACAAGCGGUGGAGCAUGUGGUUUAAUUCGAAGCAACGCGAAGAACCUUACCAGGUCUUGACAUCCCGAUGCUAUUUCUAGAGAUAGAAAGUUACUUCGGUACAUCGGUGACAGGUGGUGCAUGGUUGUCGUCAGCUCGUGUCGUGAGAUGUUGGGUUAAGUCCCGCAACGAGCGCAACCCCUAUUGUUAGUUGCCAUCAUUCAGUUGGGCACUCUAGCGAGACUGCCGGUAAUAAACCGGAGGAAGGUGGGGAUGACGUCAAAUCAUCAUGCCCCUUAUGACCUGGGCUACACACGUGCUACAAUGGUUGGUACAACGAGUUGCGAGUCGGUGACGGCAAGCUAAUCUCUUAAAGCCAAUCUCAGUUCGGAUUGUAGGCUGCAACUCGCCUACAUGAAGUCGGAAUCGCUAGUAAUCGCGGAUCAGCACGCCGCGGUGAAUACGUUCCCGGGCCUUGUACACACCGCCCGUCACACCACGAGAGUUUGUAACACCCGAAGUCGGUGAGGUAACCUUUUGGAGCCAGCCGCCUAAG
rnacentral:rRNA from 1 species